UUCUGACUGUGUUGAAUGUUUGGUCUCCAAAGUAAAGGUCAAACAAGGUUGACGUCCAUUGGAUUCUAUGACAUGUGACCCACAUUACCCUGUAACUUGAUAACUAAACAAAACAGGUGGUGUAAACUAUUCCUUUUUAAAACCUGAAUAACUCAAGCAACAAUUAAAUGCAGUGAUGUUUUCAGAGAUUAGAGCA